AUUGAACGCUGGCGGCAUGCCUUACACAUGCAAGUCGAACGGUAACAGGUCUUCGGAUGCUGACGAGUGGCGAACGGGUGAGUAAUACAUCGGAACGUGCCUAGUAGUGGGGGAUAACUACUCGAAAGAGUGGCUAAUACCGCAUGAGAUCUACGGAUGAAAGCAGGGGAUCGCAAGACCUUGUGCUACUAGAGCGGCCGAUGGCAGAUUAGGUAGUUGGUGGGAUAAAAGCUUACCAAGCCGACGAUCUGUAGCUGGUCUGAGAGGACGAUCAGCCACACUGGGACUGAGACACGGCCCAGACUCCUACGGGAGGCAGCAGUGGGGAAUUUUGGACAAUGGGCGCAAGCCUGAUCCAGCAAUGCCGCGUGAAGGAUGAAGGCCUUCGGGUUGUAAACUGCUUUUGUACGGAACGAAAAGCCCUGGGUUAAUACCCUGGGGUCAUGACGGUACCGUAAGAAUAAGCACCGGCUAACUACGUGCCAGCCGCCGCUGUAAGAC
rnacentral:rRNA from 1 species